rnacentral:rRNA from 1 species
AUACGUAGGGUGCGAGCGUUGUCCGGAAUUACUGGGCGUAAAGAGCUCGUAGGUGGUUUGUCGCGUCGUCUGUGAAAUUCCGGGGCUUAACUCCGGGCGUGCAGGCGAUACGGGCAUAACUUGAGUACUGUAGGGGUGACUGGAAUUCCUGGUGUAGCGGUGAAAUGCGCAGAUAUCAGGAGGAACACCGGUGGCGAAGGCGGGUCUCUGGGCAGUAACUGACGCUGAGGAGCGAAAGCAUGGGUAGCGAACAGGAUUAGAUACCCCGGUAGUCCAUGCCGUAAACGGUGGGCGCUAGGUGUAGGGGUCUUCCACGACUUCUGUGCCGUAGCUAACGCAUUAAGCGCCCCGCCUGGGGAGUACGGCCGCAAGGCUAAAACUCAAAUGAAUUGACGGGG